rnacentral:rRNA from 1 species
GCGAGGCAUCCCGGUCGAUGGUGGUAUCCCAGCCUGGCGCUCCAUCGCUUCACACGGCAUAACUUGAAACUCCCUCGGGCCAUGUUUCAAGGAGUUUGCACUACGGGAACACCGAUUCCGUCGGAGCGCACUCAUGUGAUCAAGUGAUCGAGCGGCUGUGCCGGCAGGUCAUUCCCGGCGACGGUGGCAUCUCGGCCCGUCACCACCAUUGCAUCACUCGGUAUCACUUGAAACCUCCUCGGGCCAAGUUUUUAGGAGUUUACACGAUGGGAUCACCGAUUCCUUCGGAGCGCAUUCAUGUGAUCAAGUGAUCGAGCGGCGGCGUCGGCGUGGCGUCGCGGUCGACGGUGGCAUCCUGGCCCAGCUCACCCGCCUCAUCGCUCGGCAUCACUUCUAAUCCCCACGGGACAAAUUUCAAUUAGUUUGUAUGACGGGAUUACCAAUUCCGUCGGAGCGCACUCAUGUGAUUAAGUGAUCAAGCGGCGACGCCAUUAGGGCGUCCUGGUCGACAGCGGCAUCCUGGCGUAGUGCCCCCGCCGCAUCACUCGUCAUCACUUGAAACCCCCUCGGGCCAAAUUUCAAGAAGUUUGCACGGUGGGAUCACCGAUUGCGUUAUAGCGCACUCGUGUGAUCAAGUGAUUGAGCGGCGGCGCCGGCGGGGCGUCCCUGGCGACGGUGGCAUCAUGGCCCUACAACCCCGCCGCAUCACUCGGCAUCACUUAAAACCCCUCCGGGCCACGUUUCAAGGAGUUUGCACGACGGGAUCUCCAAUUCCAUCGGAGCGCACAUGUGUGAUAAAGUGAUCGAUCACCUGCACCCGCGAGGCUUCCCGGUCGACGGCGGUAUCCCAGCCCGGCGCCCCCACCGUUUCACACGGCAUCACUUGAAACACCCGCGUGCCAUGUUUCAUAGAGUUUGCACGAUUGGAUCACCGAUUCCGUCGGAGCGCACUCAUGUGAUCAAGUAAUCGAGCGGCUACGCCAGCGGGGCAUCCCCGGCGAUGGCGUCAUUUACGCCCAACGCCACCGUCGCAUCACUCGGCCUCACUUGAAACCCCCUCGGAUCAAGUUUCAAUGAGUUUGCAUGACGGGAUCACCGAUUCCGUCAGAGCACACUCGUGUGAUCAAGUGAUCGAGCUGCGGUACAGGUAGGGUGUCUAGGGCGACGGCGGCAUCCCGACCCAGCUCCCCCGCCACAUCACUCGGCAUCACUUGAAAUCCCCUCGGGCCAAGUUUCAAGGAGUUUGCACAAUGGGAUCACCGAUUCCGUCGGAGCCACUUGUGUGAUCAAGUGAUCAUGCGCCGGUGCAGGCGGGACGUCCUGAUCGACGGCGGCAUCUCUGCCCGGCGCCCCCGCCGCAUCACUGAGCAUCACUUGAAAAGGAUUAGGCGGGGCGUGUUGGGCAAAUCGUACUCAUAACCGCAUCAGAUUUCCAAGGUGAACAACCUCUGCCUGACGGAACAAUGUAGGCAAGGGAAGUCGGCAAAACUGAUAUGUAACUUCGGGAAAAGGAUUGGCUCUGAGAGCUGGGCACGGGGGUCCCUGCCCCGAACCCGUCGGCUGUCAGUGAACGGCUAAAGCUCCGUCCGCGGCGAGAGCUGGCCGCCGCGUGCCGGCCGGGGGACGGACCGGGAACAUCCCGCACGCCGCUCCCCCGGCGCGGGGACUUAACCCCAGGCGUCGAAUAGCCGACUCAGAACUGGUACGGACAAGUGGAAUCCGACUGUUUAAUUAAAACAAAGCAUUGCAUUGGUCCCCGCAGAUGCUCACGCAAUAUGAUUUCCGCCCAGUGCUCUGAAUGUCAAAGUGAAGAAAUUCAACAAGGCGUUUGUAAACGAUGGUAGUAACUAUAACUCUGUUAAGGUAGCCAAAUGCCUCAUCAUCUAAUUAGUGACGCGCAUGGCGGAAUCACAGCCAAGGGAACGGGCUUGGUGGAAUCACCGGGGAAAGAAGACCCUGCUGAGCUUGACUCUAGUCCGACUUUGUGAAAUGACUUGAGAGGUGUAGGAUAAGUGGGAGCCCUCGGGCGGAAGUGAAAUACCACUACUUUUAACGUUAUUUUAUUUAUUCCGUGGAUCGGAGGCGGGGCUCUGCCCCUCCUUUUGGUUCCAAGGCCGUCCUGAGCGGUAGAUCCGGGCGGAAGACAUUGUCAGGUGGGGAGUUUUGCUAGGGCGGCACAUCUGUUAAAUGAUAACGCUGUUGUACUAAGAUGAGCUCAACGAGAACAGAAAUCUCGUGUGGAACAAAAGGGUAAAAACUCGUUCGAUUCUGAUUUCCAGUACGAAUAGGAACUGUGAAAGUGUGGCCUAUCGAUCCUUUAGCCCUUCGGGAUUUGAAGCUAGAGGUUUUAGAAAAGUUACCAUAUGGAUAACUGGCUCGUGGCAGCCAAGUGUUCAUAGCGAAGUUACUUUUUGAUCCAUCGAUGUCGGCUCUUCCUAUCAUUGUGAAGCAAAAUUCACCAAGUGUUGGAUUGUUCACCCACCAAUAGGGAAUGUGAGCUGGGUUUAGAGCGUCGUGAGAUAGGUUAGUUUUACCCUAUUGAUGACCGUACCUCCAUAGUAAUUCAACCUAGUAUGAGAGAAACCGUCGAUUCAAAUAAUUGGUCAUCACGCUUGGUUAAAAAACCAGUGGCGCGAAGCUACCGUGUGUAGUAAGAGACCCCGCGUCCCCCACGGGCCCGUGUCACAGGCAGCAGACUUGUCGCGGGCGGUGGCCUGGAAGCGUGAUUCCAAGCGGGCGGCGGGAUGAAUCCUUUGCAGACGACUUAAAUAAGCAACAAGGCAUUGUAAGUGGCAGAGUGGCCUUGCUGGCACGAUCAAUUGAGAUUCAUCUCCUCGUCACACGGAUUCAUCCCUCCCCCGUCUC